rnacentral:rRNA from 1 species
UACAGAGGGUGCGAGCGUUGUCCGUAAUUAUUGGGCGUAAAGAGCUCGUAGGCGGUGUGUCGCGUCGGCCGUGAAAACCUGCAGCUUACCUGUGGGCUUGCGGUCGAUACGGGCAUCACUGGAGUUCGGCAGGGGAGACUGGAAUUCCUGGUGUAGCGGUGAAAUGCGCAGAUAUCAGGAGGAACACCGGUGGCGAAGGCGGGUCUCUGGGCCGAUACUGACGCUGAGGAGCGAAAGCGUGGGGAGCGAACAGG